rnacentral:lncRNA from 1 species
CUUGUUGACGCUUUGCGGUAUGGCUUAAAUCAUAUGCGUGAACGUUGACGUUCUUUUGUGUUGUCGGACCGACAGACUUGCGUCGCCUGAGACGUGGUCUGUGCAGUCAACCUUUGUAUGUAUUAUGUUGUGUCGAAACGUUCCGUCCUGUGUCGUAGAUAGACGCAGCCGGUAGAUACGCUUCGUUGUCCUGGUGUUAUUGUCUGAUUUUCGUAUUCUUAGCUGUCACCGAUAUUAGUUAGGGAAAUUUCAUUUAGCUAUAAGCCGUCUUCCGUUAUAUCGCUUGGACGUACAGCCCGCUGUCUGGUACAGCUCGCUGUGCCGCCAAGAAAUAUAGACGAUGCGACGUUUUGUAGUAAUUUACUUAAAAAAAAAAAAAAGGUAUUCUUAUCUGGUUUAGUGCGUGGGUUCGAUUUUGAUGGUUUUUUUUUAUUAUCGAUUUUAGAUUUCGAGUUGUAGCUGUUAUAUUACCGAUAUUUCCUGUAGUUGGAGCUGGAGACCAGCUCAAAAUUUUGCCUACGUCAAAAUUUUCUCUGGGGAAGGGAGUAUUGUAACAAUAAAAUUUCAUUCUCCUUAAUAAAGUAAUAAAUUUAAGAAUGCAAGGCGUAGGUUACGCCUUCUACCGCCCUCUGUCGGAAAUCGGCAGGAAGUCAUCGACCGUGAGCUGUCUGAUCCUGGAUCGGCCUUCCUCGCCAUCUAGCGUGGGAUAGCUGCACUCUUGUAUUCCUCUAUGGACUUACGUGGAUCAUAGUUGCCAUUUUGAAAAAUAGAAGUAAAUCGUCAUCGGGCGUUUGCCUUCCUUCCUUUUAUUCGUAACCAGACUUAAUUAUGGGUUUUUUUUUAAGCUCCGCGUUAAUCGCGAAGAGUUUAGUAUUAUAUUUUAUUGUUGACUUAAUUUCCAUUGAACGUCCGGAGCCGGCUGUUUGCGGUGCGAGCCGAUUUAGGCUUGGCAACACUAGUCCCGUCCAAAAUGGCGAAUGAGAUGGGAUUUCUUUUUGCCGGAGAGAGAGUUGAAGGGAUAUCGUUGGCCCAGGCCAAAAUCGGGCGCAAUCGCCCGUUUGAGUGAGUUUCAAUAGUGAUUCGGUUGUGUAUUUCUUUUUAGUUGGUUAGUUUCUAACGAAGCGUUGCAUAUUUUCCAGCCCCGGAAUCGGACGUGAAUAAAACCAUGUUCUGAUGGUGAUAGGCGACGCCCAGCGUGCCCGGAUGUCGAAAUAGGUGCAAUUUUGCCCUCUGCUGGCCCUUUCUCCAUCAACGGGUUCACGCCGCGUCGCCUAAACCUCGCGCCGGCCGCGAGAGGUUCCCCUGGUAUCCCGGUAACUUGUGGGCAGCAGAUUGCUGCUGUUCUACCUACUCCCGACGUUUCACCCCAAGGCUGCUGACGUGGCAGUUGUGGUGUUUCGAGGUCAGAUCUUUCCACGUUUACUUAUUGACUGAAUGAACCGGCCUUUCGGUUCUGGCGCCCUUCCGUGUAACUACCUUAAUAUAUAUUGACCGCUGUAUCCGUUUCUACCAGUAAUGAUAAUUUAGAGCUCGCUGACCCACGUUUGUUCCCUUAAAAUAUAAACUCAACAUUAUUGUUCUCGUGAGCUAGCCCUCGGCAAACAAUUGUUACCGUGUAUCUAGGAUAACAAAUUAGCAUAAACAAUUUAGAUUUUUUUCCUGAAUUCAAUAAAUACCUGGUUCCUCUUCAA